AGCUCUGGGAGAGGAGCCCCAGCCCCGGCAUUCCCAGGUGUCCCCAUUCGGUGAUCAGGUCUGAACACAGAGACUCACCAUGGAGUCUGGGCUCAGCUGGGUUUUCCUUGUUGCUCUGUUACAAGGUGUCCAGUGUGAGGUGCAGCUGGUGGAGUCUGGAGGAGGCUUGGUCCAGCCUGGGGGGUCCCUGACAUUCUCCUGUGCAGCCUCCGGAUUCACCUUCAGUAGCUACAACAUGCACUGGGUCCGCCAGGCUCCAGGGAAGGGGUUGGAGUGGGUCUCAUACAUUAGUAAUACUGGUGGUAGCACAUACUACGCAGAAGCCGUGAAGGGCCGAUUCACCAUCUCCAGAGACAACAGCAAGAACACGCUGUCUCUGCAAAUGAACAGUCUGAGAGCCGAGGACACGGCCGUGUACUACUGUGCGGAAGCAGGAAGGCAGAGGCUGUGCUACUGGUACCUCGAUCACUGGGGCAAAGGCACCGUGGUCACCGUCUCCUCCGCCAAAACCACGGCCCCGUCAGUCUUCCCCCUGGUGCCCGGCAACAAGGGCACAUCCGGCUCCACGGUGGCCCUGGGCUGCCUGGUCAAGAACUACUUCCCCGAGCCGGUGAAGGUGACGUGGAACUCGGGCUCCCUGACCAGCGGCGUGCACACCUUCCCGGCCGCCCGGCUGUCCUCGGGGCUCUACUCCCUCAGCAGCAUGGUGACCGUGCCCGCCAGCAGCUGGCCCAGCCAGACCUACACCUGCAACGUAGCCCACCCGGCCAGCAGCACCAAGGUGGACAAGACCGUUGGUGAGAGGACGGCGAGGGAGGGGUAGCGGCCCCAGCCCAGGGCAGCGGGAGCCCCCAUGCCUUGCCCCCAGCCCAAGGAGCGGGAACCAGGGCCCAGGAGGAGCCCCCAAGUCCGAGGACGGGCCCCGCCUGGGCGCUGACCCGCCUGCCCUGUCUCUGCCUCACCAGCUUGUGAAGUCCUGGGGGGCCCGUCCGUCUUCAUCUUCCCCCCGAAGCCCAAGGACACCCUCAUGAUCUCGCUGACCCCCAAGGUCACGUGCGUGGUGGUGGACGUCAGCCAGGACGAGCCUGAUGUCCAGUUCACCUGGUACGUGGACAACGCGGAGGUGCGCACGGCCCAGACGCAGCCGCGGGAGGAGCAGCACAACAGCACGUACCGCGUGGUCAGUGUCCUCCCCAUCCUGCACCAGGACUGGCUGAAGGGCAAGGAGUUCAAGUGCAAGGUCAACAACAAAGCCCUCCCAGCCCCGGUCCAGAAAACCAUCUCCAAAGCCAAAGGGCCGGUCCGCGAGCCGAAGGUGUACACCAUGCCCCCGCCGCGGGAGGAGUUGAACCAGAACCAGGUCAGCUUGACCUGCAUGGUCAAUGGCUUCUACCCCGAAGACAUCGUGGUCGAGUGGGAGAGCAACGGGCAGCCACAGAGCAACUACAAGACCACCCCGGCCGUGCUGGACUCGGACGGGUCCUUCUUCCUCUACAGCAAGCUCACCGUGGCCAAGAGCGCCUGGAACGGGGGGACCACCUACACCUGCUCCGUGAUGCACGAGGGCCUGCACAACCACUACACCCAGAAGUCCCUCUCCGUGUCUCCGGAGCUGCAGGCGGACGAGAGCUGUGCCGAGGCCCAGGACGGGGAGCUGGACGGGCUCUGGACAACCAUCGCCAUCUUCAUCACCCUCUUCCUGCUCAGCGUGUGCUACAGCGCCACCGUCACCCUCUUCAAGGUGAAGUGGAUCUUCUCCUCGGUGGUGGACCUGAAGCGGACGAUCGCCCCCGACUACAGGAACAUGAUUGGGCAGGGGGCCUAGCACCACCCUCUGCGUGGGUGUCCAGGGCCGCCCAGACCCC